CUGGUAAUGUCUUAUAUUUGGAAAUGUGGAAGCAACUUCAAAUGUAACCAAACAGAAGGUUGAAGCUGCAAAGCAGUAUUUAGAAAAUCAUUAUAAGAAGCAGAAGCAGAGCCUGCAAGAGAGGAAGGAAAGACGUAAUAUGCUAGAAAAAAAGUUGGCUGACGCUGAAGUCUCUGAGGAAUAGCAGAGCAACUUGCUUAAAUAUUUAGAAAAAAAGGAGACCGAAUACAUGCGCCUUCAGAGACUUAAGAUGGGGGCCGAAUACAAAACCAAAACCUACUCUUUAUUCUUUAUUCACGAGAGUUGCUGGCUUACUGCUCUACUGUGAUUAUAACUUUGAAGUUGUUCAAAAUUUUCUUAUGCAGAUGUUUUUGUACCUCGUUAUGUUCGUGUGAAUACACUUAAACUGGAUGUUGAUACUGCCUUAGUUGAACUUCAGGAAAAUUACUCGGUUCAAAAGGAUGAUUUACUCCCUGACUUGCUGAUACUCCCACCAGGCACUGAUUUACAUGAUCAUCCUCUUGUCAAGAAUGGAAGUAUCUUUAUGCAAGGCAAGGCGAGUUCCAUGGAGGCACCAACCCUUAGCCCUGAACCAGGAUGGGAGGCUUCAUAUUUGGAAUUCUCCAUUGGUAUUAGAAGGUCUUCACCAAAUUUUAACAUAUCAUCCACACAACAAGGCCAAAAUGAAGGAUUAGCAACUCCUCUUGAUGACUUUUUCAUGGAUGACAUAUAAAUUCUAGAUAUUUUGAAAACUUUGGAAUGAUAUUUUAUUGGAUUUUU